UAACCUGCCCAAUGAAUGUGAUUUAAAUGGSUGCGGUAUACUGACCGUGCAAAGGUAGCAUAAUCAUUAGUUUUUUAAUUGAAAGCUUGUAUGAAAGGUUUGAUGAGAAAAUAACUGUCUCAGGUUAAAUUUAUUARAAUUUUAUUUUUAAGUAAAAAAGCUUAAAUAAUUAUUAAAGACGAGAAGACCCUAUAGAGUUUUACAUUAAAAAAAAAAUAAUAUAUUGUGGAUUUAAAUAUGUGUAUUUUAUUUGAAUGUUUAGUUGGGGUGAUUGAAAAAUUGAAUAAACUUUUUUUUUAUAAGAUCAUUAAUUUGUGAAUAUUUGAUCCAAAGUUUUUGAUUAUAAGAAUAAAUUACCUUAGGGAUAACAGCGUAAUUUUUUUUUAGAGUUCAAAUCGAAAGAAAAGAUUGCGACCUCGAUGUUGGAUUAAAAUAAAUAAUUGGUGUAGAAGCUAAUUUAUUAGGUCUGUUCGACCUUUAAAAUUUUACA
rnacentral:rRNA from 1 species